AGGAAAAGAAACCAACAGGGAUUGCCCUAGUAACGGCGAGUGAAGCGGCAACAGCUCAAAUUUGAAAUCUGGCGCAAGCCCGAGUUGUAAUUUGUAGAGGAUGCUUCUAGGUAGCGACCGGUCUAAGUUCCUUGGAACAGGACGUCAUAGAGGGUGAGAAUCCCGUAUGUGACUGGCCCGCACCUUCUACGUAGCUCCUUCGACGAGUCGAGUUGUUUGGGAAUGCAGCUCUAAAUGGGAGGUAAAUUUCUUCUAAAGCUAAAUACCGGCCAGAGACCGAUAGCGCACAAGUAGAGUGAUCGAAAGAUGAAAAGCACUUUGGAAAGAGAGUUAAAAAGCACGUGAAAUUGUUGAAAGGGAAGCGCUCACAACCAGACUUCUAGGCAGUGUUCCGCCGGUCUUUUGACCGGUCUACUCUCUGUCUCGAGGCCAACAUCAUCUGGGACCGCUGGAUAAGACCUUAGGAAUGUAGCUCCCCUCGGGGAGUGUUAUAGCCUCUGGUGAUGCAGCGAGUCUCGGGUGAGGUCCGCGCUUCGGCAAGGAUGUUGGCGUAAUGGUUGUCAGCGGCCCGUCUUGAAACACGGACCAAGGAGUCUAACAUCUAUGCGAGUGUUCGGGUGUCAAACCCCUACGCGUAAUGAAAGUGAACGGAGGUGGGAAGCGUAAGCUGCACCAUCGACCGAUCCUGAUGUCCUCGGAUGGAUUUGAGUAAGAGCAUAGCUGUUGGGACCCGAAAGAUGGUGAACUAUGCCUGAAUAGGGUGAAGCCAGAGGAAACUCUGGUGGAGGCUCGCAGCGGUUCUGACGUGCAAAUCGAUCGUCA
rnacentral:rRNA from 1 species